ACAGCUUUAUUUUAAAUUUAGUUUCUCCUUGGAUUUCUGAAAUGGCCCUCAGCUUUCGGCAUGGCAAGACUCUUCUUUCCACAGAACAAGGAACUGAGCAUUUCAGGAGGUUCUAAUUUAAAACUCUUGAUUCUGUGGUCUAAAAGAUGAAAAAAACAGACAUCAGUCCUACUGUGUUCCAAAAUCCAACCUGAUAGCCGAGAAAAGAAAAGCACAGAAUUCACUUCCCGUGAUAUCCAUGAUAGUGUGUCAGAGUUAAGCAAAAUCAUAGAAUGCAUAUUACAAUGACUCCCAUAAGAGUUUGUUUCAUUUAUCUACUUGGGAAAACAUAAUUUGUAAUAAAAUAUAACCAAUGUAUUCUGGAAUUGUGUGUAAAAUUCCUGUUGUAAUGGGUUGUUAUUUUGGUGGCCUCCCAUAAACUAUGCCUCCCUGUUUUUAAGGCCUUGUGUAAUCUCCUCAAUCUGAAUCCAUGGAGUUCUAUUGCCCUUGAAUCUUCCAUGAUAUGAGGAAGCACCUCAAUCCAUGUGGAGAAGUCCAUAUGCAGGAUAACUGAGGCCUUGGCUGACCAUAACAGCUGAAUUCUCAGUGCACGAUCAUCAACCACCUGCUAUAUGCAAGAGACCAUUAUGGGCCUUCCUUGUGUCCAAAUCAACACUGUCUGGGUAGAGAACUGUCAGGUCAACUCAUAGCACU